UAACAGCUUCUCCCUCUCUGUCCUCUGGCAUUCUGCCUUCCAGGGAAUGCUGUGUCUGCCUUAGAGCGUGCAUUUGUACUCUCCACCUGCGGGUCCUUGAGCAUGUUCAUCCAUGCCAUAACUAUCCUGCCCUGGCCCUGCAGAGCUCCACCUGAGUGCAGUGGUAACCUGCUUCUGCACAGGUCGUGCACUGGUUUCUUUCUCCUCAUCAUAUUGCACCAGGUUUCCACUCUCCAGCAUUUCCUGGGCUCAUCUCGCAAAUAAACAGCUUGUCCUUGAAUCUUUACCUCCUGGUCCAGGCCUUGGGUGGCCUGAGGUCAUCUGGUGAGGGAGGAGUCUGAAAGGCCAGCAGAAUCAGAGCACAGGAAGGCUGGAGUUCUCAAAGGAAGCUCUGUGGAUCCCCAGUGUCACUAGAGACCUUUUCAGGGAGAUGCUGGAGAAGGAACCACGGGCCUUACUCACACUAGGCACAUCUACCAGUCAGCUAUGCCCAUGCUAAUAAGUCCUGUGAUUUAGAAGUUUGAGAACUGCUGAUGUAAAAACCUGGAAGAUUGCAAGGUUUUAGGUAUCCUCUCCCUUGCAGUGAGGAGUCACUGAAGGGCUUUAAUCAGGGGACAUUGCAGUGUUGGAGUUGAUGGAAGGCACCUGAAAAAGAUUGAAGUUCUUACCCUUGAACAAUCUGGGCUCUCAGGGGGAGGACCGGAUCUGCUUUGUCAGGAGCAGAGCUGCACUUUUGGCACGAACUUACAAAACUAGCACCAGAAUGGAAAUAUGAAGCCUCCAGUGUAUUUUUCCAAAAUCCGUUUUCCCCCCUGUGAUUCCCUUGAAAAAGAGGGGAAAAAAAUCCCU